rfam:Trichomonas vaginalis G3, whole genome shotgun sequence.
AUUGGAUUGUUCCAUGAAGCGAAAAAUAGUUUACUGUGUCACUCGUACCGAUAACCGCAUCAGGUCUUCUAGGUAAGUAGCCUAUGGCCAUUGAGGCAUGAUAGUUCAGGGAAUUCGGCCAAUUAGAGCUGUAACUUCGGGAUAAAGCUUGGCUCUGAUGAAAAUCAGAACCGAUUGUUACGCGGAGAGCCCAACUGUUUAAUAAAAACGUAGUGUCGCGCUGUGGUAGUAUAGCCAGUGAACGCGACAUGAAUCCUGCUCAGUGCUGUGUCUGUUAAUAUGGUUCAAGCCAACGAAGCACCGGUAAAUAGCUGGGGUAACUAUGACUCUUAUCAAAGUAGCGAAAUACCUCGUCACUUAAUUAGUGACCUGCAUGAACGGAGCUAUGAGGUUCUCACUGUCCCAAACUGUCUCUCAGCGAACCAACUGUAGUGGGAACGGUCACUAGAUAUCCAGCGGGGAAAGAAGACCCUGUAGAGCUUCACUUUGGUCUAGUCUUGUAUAGUUCCUGCGGGGGUGUAGACUAGGUGGGAGAGCAAUCGAUUCUGAAAAACCACUACCCUGUUUGGAAUUAUGCUUACCUAUCACAAGGAAUAGGACUAGAUAGAAAGUUUGGCUGGGGCGGCACACCUUCGAAAGAGCAGCGAAGGUGUCCUAAGUUGAGCUCAGUGAGGACAGAAAUCUCACGUUGAGGAUAAGGCCAAAAGCUCAAUUUACUGUGCCUUUUUGUACUAGGAUCAGUUACGAAAGUAAGGCCUAACGAUCCCUAAAUAGCCUCAGGUGCGUGAGGAUUGGGGUGACAGACAAGUUACCUCCGGGACAACUGGCUUGUGGCUGCUAAGAGAUCAAAUCAACGCAGCUUUUUGAUUCUUCGAUGUCGGCUCUUCCUAUCCUAGUGAUGUACAAGUUGCUAAGGGUCGGAUUGUUCACCCGUAUUAGGGAUCGUGAGCUGGGUUUAGACCGUCGUGAGCCCAGGUUUGUUUUAUCUCUACUGGGAUAUAGC